rnacentral:rRNA from 1 species
AUUGAACGCUGGCGGAAUGCUUUACACAUGCAAGUCGAACGGCAGCACGGGGGCAACCCUGGUGGCGAGUGGCGAACGGGUGAGUAAUACAUCGGAACGUGCCCAGUCGUGGGGGAUAACUACGCGAAAGCGUAGCUAAUACCGCAUACGAUCUACGGAUGAAAGCGGGGGAUCGCAAGACCUCGCGCGAUUGGAGCGGCCGAUGGCAGAUUAGGUAGUUGGUGAGGUAAAGGCUCACCAAGCCUUCGAUCUGUAGCUGGUCUGAGAGGACGACCAGCCACACUGGGACUGAGACACGGCCCAGACUCCUACGGGAGGCAGCAGUGGGG